UGGGGCGUCGCCAAGUGGUAAGGCAAGGGACUUUGACUCCCUCACCCGCUGGUUCGAAUCCAGCCGUCCCAGCCA
rnacentral:tRNA from 2 species